ensembl:lncRNA
CCCCUUAUGACCCCACACAGCCCCAUAUGGCCCCGUAUGACCCCACACAGCCCCAUACGGCCCCAUAUGACCCCACACAGCCCCAUACGGCCCCCGUAUGACCCCACACAGCCCCAUAUGACCCCACAUGACCCCAUACGACCCCACACAGCCCCAUACGGCCCCAUAUGACCCCACACAGCCCCAUACGACCCCACACAGCCCCAUACGGCCCCAUAUGACCCCAUACGACCCCACACAGCCCCAUAUGACCCCAUACGACCCCACACAGCCCCAUAUGGCCCCCGUAUGACCCCACACAGCCCCAUAUGGCCC